GACGAACGCUGGCGGCGUGCUUAACACAUGCAAGUCGAACGAUGAAGAAAAGAAUCGAAGCUUCGGCAGAAAUUCAUUUCGGAUUAGUGGCAGACGGGUGAGUAACGCGUGAGCAACCUACCUCUUACAAAGGGAUAGCCUCGGGAAACCGGGAUUAAUACCAUAUAACAUUGUGACGAAGCAUUUCGAUGCAAUCAAAGCUACGGCGGUAAGAGAUGGGCUCGCGUCCCAUUAACCGGAUGGUGAGGUAACGGCUCACCAUAGUGACGAUGGGUAACCGGCCUGAGAGGGGGAACGGUCACACUGGAACUGAGACACGGUCCAGACUCCUACGGGAGGCAGCAGUGGGGAAUAUUGCACAAUGGAGGGAACUCUGAUGCAGCGACGCCGCGUGAGUGAUGAAGGAAUUCGUUUCGUAAAACUCUGUUCUAUGGGAAGAAAAGGACUGUACCAUAGGAGAAAGCUCCGGCUAAAUACGUG
rnacentral:rRNA from 1 species